CCAAAGGCUCUUUUAAGAGCCACCUCACUUGUCUACAAAAGAGCUGU
rfam:Erinaceus europaeus unplaced genomic scaffold scaffold00474, whole genome shotgun sequence